rnacentral:rRNA from 1 species
CUACAAGCAGUCGGAGCCCGCAAGGGUGACGACGUACCUUUUGUAUAAUGGGUCAGCGACUUAAUCUGACGAGCAAGCUUAAGCCGAUAGGUGUAGGCGCAGCGAAAGCGAGUCUGAACAGGGCGUUCAGUUCGUCGGAUUAGACCCGAAACCUGUCGAUCUUGCCAUGGUCAGGUUGAAAGCAGGGUAACACCUGCUGGAGGACCGAACCGGUGUCUGUUGAAAAAGCCUCGGAUGAACUGUGGCAAGGGGUGAAAGGCCAAUCAAGGCAGGAAAUAGCUGGUUCUCCUCGAAAUCUAUUUAGGUAGAGCCUCGGACGAACACUCGAGGGGGUAGAGCACUACAUGGGCUAGGGGCCCCCACAGGGUUACCAAACCUAAGUAAACUCCGAAUACCUCGAAGUGCUAUCCGGGAGGACACACGGUGGGGUGCUAACGUCCAUCGUGGAGAGGGGAAAAAAA